CAGUAGCCACGGGAAAACGAAGGGUGCAAGCGUUACUCGGAAUUACUGGGCGUAAAGCGUGCGCAGGCGGUUAUAUAAGACAGAUGUGAAAUCCCCGGGCUCAACCUGGGACCUGCAUUUGUGACUGUAUAGCUAGAGUACGGUAGAGGGGGAUGGAAUUCCACGUGUAGCAGUGAAAUGCGUAGAUAUGUGGAGGAAUACCGAUGGCGAAGGCAGCCCCCUGGGAUAACACUGACGCUCAUGCACGGAAGCGUGGGGAGCAAACAGGAUUAGAUACCCGCGUAGUCCCUGUCUCUUAUAC
rnacentral:rRNA from 1 species